rnacentral:rRNA from 1 species
CCUACGGGUGGCAGCAGUGGGGAAUAUUGCUCAAUGGGGGAAACCCUGAUGCAGCAACGCCGCGUGGGUGAUGAAGGUUUUCGGAUUGUAAACUCCUUUUGUUAGAGAAGAUAAUGACGGUAUCUAACGAAUAAGCACCGGCUAACUCCGUGCCAGCAGCCGCGGUAAUACGGAGGGUGCAAGCGUUACUCGGAAUCACUGGGGGUAAAGAGCGCGUAGGCGGGAUAGCAAGUCAGAAGUGAAAUCCUAUGGCUUAACCAUAGAACUGCAUUUGAAACUGUUAGUCUAGAGUAUGGGAGAGGUAGGUGGAAUUCUUGGUGUAGGGGUAAAAUGCGUAGAGAUCAAGAGGAAUACUCAUGGCGAAGGCGACCUGCUAGAACAUAACUGACGCUGAUGCGCGAAAGCGUGGGGAGCAAAUAGGAUUAGAUACCCGGGUAGUC